GUAGGGAAUAUUGGGCAAUGGAUGCAAGUCUGACCCAGCCAUCCCGCGUGCCGGAAGAAGGCCCUCAGGGUUGUAAACGGCUUUUGACGGUGAAGAAUCGACAGGAUGCGUCCUGUUUUGACGGUAGCCGUUGAAUAAGCACCGGCUAACUCCGUGCCAGCAGCCGCGGUAAUACGGAGGGUGCGAGCGUUGUCCGGAUUUAUUGGGUUUAAAGGGUGCGUAGGCUGGAAGGUCAGUCAGCGGUGAAAAGCUGUCGCUUAACGAUAGUCUUGCCGCAGAUACUUCCUUUCUUGGAUGAGGAGGAGGCCACUGGAACGGAUGGUGUAGCGGUGAAAUGCAUAGAUAUCAUCCAGAACACCGAUUGCGAAGGCAGGUGGCUGUACCUUAAUCGACGCUGAUGCACGAAAGCAUGGGGAGCAAACAGGAUAGAUACCCGUGUAGUCC
rnacentral:rRNA from 1 species